rnacentral:lncRNA from 1 species
GAGGUGACUGGAAUUGAAUGACAUGAUCCAGGGGAGGCCGGCCACAAAUGCAGUAACAUGACCAGGAUGGGCCGGUGGGGCUGGUCAGGUCACAGUGUGAGGGACAGAACGGACCCCUUCACUCUGGCCUCCUGUAGGUCUCCAGGUGUGACAGGAUCCAGCCCGCUGGCAGGAGGAAGGUCACGAAGCAGGAGGUAAGCCCAACGGCCAAUUCCUACACAGAGCACAAGAAAGAAGGCACCUCGGAGUCAGUAUUCCCCUAGGCUCUCUAAGUCCUUGCAGUUCCCAGGCAGCAGAAAGCCCCGCUCAGGGAGCCAGGACUCAGAGGCAAGUGGGAGGCCCCGCAUCCUCACGUUAAAGGAAUCCACGCUCCACGGAGCAGACAGAGCAGGUCCAAAGCUACGCUAACCCUUGAGGUAAAGGGUCAGUUAUAAGGAGGGGGAAGAGUGAGAGGAAGGAGAGACAGCUGGGGUUAGGGUUCAGGGAGAAAUGCACCACCAGAUGGUAAAGGAAGGGACAGGAAGCAGGAUUUAUUGAAACCUGUUUUAAAGCUGGUCUGGGCCGGGCAUGGUGGCUCACACCUGUAAUCCCAGCAAUUUGGGAGGCCAAGGCGGGCGGAUCACAAGGUCAGGAGUUAGAGACCAGCCUGACCAACAUGGUGAAACCCCGUCUCUACUAAAAAUACAAAAAAUUAGCCGGGAGUGGUGGCGGGCGCCUGUGAUCCCAGCUACUCGGGAGAC